rnacentral:rRNA from 1 species
GACGAACGCUGGCGGCGUGCUUAACACAUGCAAGUCGAACGGAAAGGCCCUGCUUUUGUGGGGUGCUCGAGUGGCGAACGGGUGAGUAACACGUGAGUAACCUGCCCUUGACUUUGGGAUAACUUCAGGAAACUGGGGCUAAUACCGGAUAGGAGCUCCUGCUGCAUGGUGGGGGUUGGAAAGUUUCGGCGGUUGGGGAUGGACUCGCGGCUUAUCAGCUUGUUGGUGGGGUAGUGGCUUACCAAGGCUUUGACGGGUAGCCGGCCUGAGAGGGUGACCGGCCACAUUGGGACUGAGAUACGGCCCAGACUCCUACGGGAGGCAGCAGUGGGGAAUAUUGCACAAUGGGCGGAAGCCUGAUGCAGCAACGCCGCGUGCGGGAUGACGGCCUUCGGGUUGUAAACCGCUUUCGCCUGUGACGAAGCGUGAGUGACGGUAAUGGGUAAAGAAGCACCGGCUAACUACGUGCCAGCAGCCGCGGUGAUACGUAGGGUGCGAGCGUUGUCCGGAUUUAUUGGGCGUAAAGGGCUCGUAGGUGGUUGAUCGCGUCGGAAGUGUAAUCUUGGGGCUUAACCCUGAGCGUGCUUUCGAUACGGGUUGACUUGAGGAAGGUAGGGGAGAAUGGAAUUCCUGGUGGAGCGGUGGAAUGCGCAGAUAUCAGGAGGAACACCAGUGGCGAAGGCGGUUCUCUGGGCCUUUCCUGACGCUGAGGAGCGAAAGCGUGGGGAGCGAACAGGCUUAGAUACCCUGGUAGUCCACGCUGUAAACGGUGGGUACUAGGUGUGGGGUCCAUUCCACGGGUUCCGUGCCGUAGCUAACGCUUUAAGUACCCCGCCUGGGGAGUACGGCCGCAAGGCUAAAACUCAAAGGAAUUGACGGGGCCCCGCACAAGCGGCGGAGCAUGCGGAUUAAUUCGAUGCAACGCGUAGAACCUUACCUGGGUUUGACAUGGAUCGGGAGCGCUCAGAGAUGGGUGUGCCUCUUUUGGGGUCGGUUCACAGGUGGUGCAUGGCUGUCGUCAGCUCGUGUCGUGAGAUGUUGGGUUAAGUCCCGCAACGAGCGCAACCCUUGUUCACUGUUGCCAGCACGUUAUGGUGGGGACUCAGUGGAGACCGCCGGGGUCAACUCGGAGGAAGGUGGGGAUGACGUCAAGUCAUCAUGCCCCUUAUGUCCAGGGCUUCACGCAUGCUACAAUGGCUGGUACAGAGAGUGGCGAGCCUGUGAGGGUGAGCGAAUCUCGGAAAGCCGGUCACAGUUCGGAUUGGGGUCUGCAACUCGACCUCAUGAAGUCGGAGUCGCUAGUAAUCGCAGAUCAGCAACGCUGCGGUGAAUACGUUCCCGGG